AUCAUAAUACUUGCUUUCAUAUCAUAGUUACUAUUUUUGAAUUAACAUCAAUUUGAGUAGCAAUUGUUCUUUAACUGAGCGAAUUUAAAAAAUUGAAGCAGUUCGGGUUUUGUUAACCGCCUGUACCAGUGUGGAUUUAUCACCAUCUUUGGUGCUUCUCUUUGUGCACGCUUCCAUUGUCAUGCUUGAAGGCUGGAAACAAAGGAAAAAUGGAGACUUUAAGCAGGGAUUCUCUUUAAGAAUUGAGAAAAUAAAAGACCCACAAAAGAAAGACAACUAUAAAUCACACUUAGCAACUAUAAUCUUCUCCACGUCACAAUAUAAGAGAUUGAAAAUUCCUGGAAAGUUCUAAUAUUUUGCCAACUUCAUAAAAAUCAUAAAAGGCUUGUUGCCUAGAGAAAGGUCCUGUUUAUCAAGUGAUGCUAAAGCCAGCCAAAAUCCUUUCAAUUCAAAGAACUAUGAAACAACAUUAAAAAAAUAAAAUUUAAAAAAAUUCCAGGUUUAGAAACAUUAUUAUCAGCGGACCAGCUCAGUUAGAUUAUAACAAACGGUUUGAAUAGAUUCAUUAGGCAUCUCAAAAAACUGAUGGAAUUUCAAAAAAAGAUUCAACGGUCAAAAGGGUAAGAAGCAUCCAUUAAUCAACCUAAACAGUACAAUAAUACAAUCCCAUAAUUUACUGCAAAAAUAAAUGUUAGAGCUCUCUUGGAGCAUCUGAGAGUGACAAAUAUCAGCAAAAGGCAAUAUUAUGUUAUCUUCAGAAAAUGACAUCAAAAGUAAUCUCCAAGUAUCAUAAAUGUUCCCCAGCAUAGAAUAGACUAUUCUUGGAUGAGUUAUACUAUAAUAUACAGGUAAGACACAAGAUGCAAGUAUCUUAGGGAAGGAAUUCCAUUGACUUCUCAAGCAUGCUACUCUUACUUAUAGCAAUAUGGUAAUGCAAAUAUAGCUAUUUUAUUAGUUCCAUUUUUCUAUAUGGUUAGACAGAAUCAAUAAUCAGAGACUCAUGGCACUUAAAAACAGGAGUUGCAAACAUAUUUUUUAAGCUUGCACAGAUUUUGUUUAAUCAAUCGCAAAUUGCCAAUGGCUUAAAUGGAUGUUCAAACAUCUAGGCAUUAACGCAAGGCAAAUAUUAAAACACUAAAUAAGUAGAUCAUUUACCAUGAAUUAAUUCCCGUUACCUGCCUAAAACAACUCUAACAAUUUUAGUCCAUCCAUUGCCAAGUAUAUUCCACGCCUGCAUACGAUUUCUAAAUUUCAGAUUAUCCCAUCCAAUAAGAAAAAAUUUGACCAUCCAAAUUGAAACAAUCAGAUCAGUAAAAUUAUGCUAGUCCUUGUAAUUUAGUGAAAAUUGACAUAGGGUUGAAAGCAAUUGGUUAGCUUGUACAGUUCAGAUUCAUGAAAUAUAUAACUAAGAAGUUUUACCAAGAGAUUUAUUGCAUUUUGUACUACUAAACUGUACCAUGAAAGCCAGCCAAAAGGUACGAAGAAGGGAAGAAAAAAGCUCCAUUGACAAUAAAAAAAAACCUCUUGAAUGGCAGGAAAGAAGAGAAGAAAAGCCAUUUUGGUGGUGAACUAACUUUAAUAUAAUUUAUAUUAUAUCCUCAAAAUGUCAUCCUAUCAGAUACACAAGCCAAUCCCCUCAGAACAAAAUUAGCAAAAUUUUAAUGAAAAACUUGUACUCUAGCAAAAGAAAAAUGAAAAGGCAAAAUUUAUGCAAAGACAUGAGGAAAAGGCACUUAGAAACAAUAAUCUAAAAUAAUGGAAAUCCUUGAUGACUUACAAUGCUUUGGUCAUUUGUGGCUGGAAACCCAGCAACUAAAUACACACAAAACUAUCAAAAACAGAUCCAACAUUUAAUGGCAUAGAGAUGCAAAGCAAAUAAAGAAAUCAGGCAUUCUCCUUAAUGAAUGGAAAAGGAAGCUCAUGAAAGAGCAUCCAAGUAAUGAAUAACCAGGAAAAUCACAAUCAAAACUUGAUUAAAAAAUAUAAAAAAUCACAGUGCAUUAAAGUAAACUUUUUAUUAGUGCAUGAAAUAAAAUAUACCAUAUCUUAGAGCAUUGCAGCAAUGUUGAAGAGGAAAAAGCCCAACUUUCUCCACCUGCAAUCACAAAAAAAAAGUAAAUUUUAGAUGAGUAAAAGGGGAAGAAAACAAUGAAGAGAAAAUCAAAUAUACAAAAAAAAAAAGUUCACAAUGCAUAAGCAGCGACUUUUGAACUAUCGAUAGAUGAUAACGAUCAUGAUGUCUGCAAAACACGACACAGAAACUAUUAGACACCCAAUUUCCAAAUUGAAAGUAUCUAGGUUCUUAACCUUCCCCAUUGGAGAAAUUUAUCAAAUAACACAAUCAUCCACAAUGUUAAAACAGUUAGGCAGAUAAAAUAUUGAGAAAUUUAUCCGAAUAAUAAAAAAUAAUUGCACAGCAAAAACAUAGUGAGGCAAACAAAAGAUUAAACAGAUUACACCAAUUACUCCAACAUCGUAACUCGUUAGAUUCAGUUCCACUGCCAGCUUAACAUAAACUUUCACAUUAUCAACUGAAUUUCAGAAACAUUCAAUUGAACUUGCUCCAAUCAAUAAAGUGAAAAAUUCAUGCUUUUAAAAUUUCAAUUGCCCUGUUUCCCGUAACUACUACAUCCAACCAUCCAACCUAAGCAAAAAUUUUCAGCUUUCAACACCCAAUUUGAUGACAUCAACAAUUAGUAAUAUAGGAAACAUCUCUUUAUAGUUAUUGUAGAAAUAGCUAUGGAAUUUGAUUAAAACUUAAAUCAUAAAGAGGGAAAAUGGGAUAAGUAGGAGGCGUAGUAGUAAAAGUAAAGAUUAAAAAACCCCAAGUUUUGGAGUUUAAAAAAAAAAGGGGACAAAUCAAGGGCAAAAAAAAAUAGCACUGAUAUAAAAGACAAAGUAUUACCUCUUCAUGUGCUAAUUCCACUGUCAAAGUUUAUGAGCAGGAAGGCGGAAACACCCAAAUGGAUUUUGUGGUUCACUGGCAUAUCAUUAAUAUAACACAUCAUAAAAAAUGAAAGAUAAAGUAAUAAUACGGAUUUCUUUUUACUUCUAGCCAAAACAAACGGAAAACAUUAGACACAAAAAAAUAAAAGAAACAAAAUAAGGGUUUUCUAACAAAAAAUAAAAGAGAAAUAUUCAAUAACAAUAAAAUGGAACAAAAUAAGAAAAUUUCAACAAAAACAACCAUGCAACAGUCAGAAACUUGUGAAUGGGAAACAGGAGAUGAAUCUGAGGAAGAAGAGUACAAUGGGGAACAGAGGUCUUCUAGAAGUGCAAAAAAAAUUUUAAAAAAAUUUAAUGCAAAUCUGCAAAGAAAAAAAGAUUACCUUAUUAGUCUUGCUGCUUGAGGAAGAGGAAGAUGACAGAGGAAAAGAAAAAGAGAGAGAAUGACGAAAAAAGGAAGAAAUGAAAAGAGAACCAGAAGAGACUGAGGGGGAAGAGAGAGAUAAAAGCACAUGUUUUCCAGCACAGGGUUUCAGGUGGUUUGGAAAAUAAAAGGGAACGAAACCGGUACAAGAAUUCCAGGACCAACAAGUCAACAACCACGGUGCACGUGAUUUCCACAUGAAGAAGGACGAAAGACCAACAACAAAUUCCACCACCCAUUCCCACUUUAUAUAUAAGUUCUUUAUAGUACAAUACUACAAAGUUAAAAAAUUGCAGGCCAUACUCAAUGCUGUAUGUUGUUGAUGUGCAAGGAGGCACCAUGAACUUAACCAACCUUAAUGCUGAAGUUUAUUUCCAUCUGUCAUGUUAAUGAAGGCAGGACAGCUAUUGAUCUAUUAUUAGAAGGAGAAAAGGGAACUCUACACUUGUUUGCACCACCAAAAAACAAAUAGAAGUUGAAGUUCAGAUGGGUCAUAGUAGUUCAGUAGCAAAAUGGUACUUGAAUUCAUUUAUAAUCCUAAAUUUCAAGGCGAGUCAUAAUUCCAAUCAGGUCAAGCGGAGUUAAACAUAUGACAGGCAAAAUAACUACUUCAUACUUUAUUCAUCAAGAAUCAGCACAACACAUCAGAAUGUAUCAUUUUAGGAAUUCCAAAAUAGGGCAUUGCGUGGAUAUAUGAGCUUGGAAAAACCAACAAUAUGUUUAUUCAGUAAGAAUUGUUAGCCUAAUAUGGUCCUAUUCUCUGCACAAUAAAGGAAAACUAAGUGAGCAGAGUUGCAGAGAGUAACGGAAUUUUCCAACAAGUAUCCCUCUAUAAGGUUUAGCAACUUCAUUCUAGCUCCCUCUGCGGAAUAUUCUAGCUCGCUCUUAGGCAACAAAUUCUCAUUUCGAAAGAAAUUCUGCAUCCAGGGUAUAAAAGUUAAAAUCCCCAAAUUUAACUUCUACACAUUUGGAAAUUAGCAAUUUAGUGGAAAAUAAAAGAACUUUGUAAAUCUGUUAUGCAAGAAUUGCUCUUCUUAUCGUCAAAGCAACCAAAGCGUAAUUCCAGAGAUUAAUGAACAACGAAAGGGAAAAAAGAUUAAUGAACCUGGUAUAAGCUUGAAUUCCAGAGAGUUCGGAAUAAGCGUGUGACGGCAAAAAACUUCAGGCUUCGGUGCUUCCUUUUUACUGAUUGCAGAGACGACAAAUAGAGACGGCACUCGGCACUCGGCGCUCGGCAGGCAAGGCAAGGCAAUUGCAGAGAGAGGAAGCGG
rnacentral:lncRNA from 1 species